UAAAUCAAAUCAGAAUUUCUUGACAUGAAAUGAUAAUUGUGGAAUAAAUCACAUAUUCUUUUAUAUAACAAGAAAUCGUAUAGUCUUGUCUGCUAUAAUCAGAGCUUUACUUCUAUAAUUAAGCAUUGUUCCUAUAAAAGUCCUUGAGAGGCUCAGGCUUAUAUGAAAUAUCCAUUAAUAAUCAUCCACCCGAUUUAGUACUCUGCCUUGUUCUUCUCAAGGAAGAUCUUCGUAUACUAUCUAUAGGACAAAAGCAAUCCCAAAACUUUAUACAAAUAUCGGACAAAAAAUAAUAAAUUACAGGAAUCUGGCAGCCAUGCCCCUGCAAAACCCAGCCAACCCAAACCACCAACCUUAGGCAGUUUCUGCCUAAAUGCAACAAAAAUUCAACCUCAUACAAGCCAUAAAUGCUAAGGAGAUGCACUAUCAUCAUCAGAGAAACUGUACUGCUUCCUAGCAUUGGGUCCAGAUAAUUCCUGUGGCAGAGUUGGAUUUACUGGAACCGGAAGAGUUGGGUUUACUGGAACUGGAAACUUGUGGGCAGAACUAACUAUUGUACGCUCGUUUAUCAUACCAACUUCUUUGCAGACCCGAUCAAGAACAGUAAGAAAAUCCCUCACCACCAUGAAAAUUCUGAAAGGGUGAGCUUCUUCCUUCGCUGAAUUCCCAUGGAAGUACUCCGUGAUCUCUUUCACUAGAGACAAGGCUACACUUUCAUGGGCUUGAAUCCUUAUGAUCUCCUCCUCAGCCAAUUUCAUGAAUCUCUUCAUUGCAUCUGAAAAUUUCUGGCUGGUUUCAUCCACCCCCAUUGUUUCAUUUAAUUGCACAACAUCAUUGAUGUUCUCAAUGCCCUUGGAAAGUUUGGCAACAUCACUGCUAAGUACAUCAGAAUCCAUAGCAGCUGCUUUCUUCACAUUUGUGAGCUCUGAGCUUAGACCAGAAACAACUUGCAGGCCAAGCUUUCUACACUUAGCAUCUUCACUUGAGAUGAAGUUUGGAGUUUGGUUGAUACCUGAAAGACGAGCACCUUCAGUUCUUAUAAUUUCCUGUACAACAAAAUGCAAGAGUGUGGUCUUUCCAUCUGCACCCUUGACAUCAACAAGCUUGAGAAGUGUGUCAAGCUUGAAGGCAUGGGCAUCACCACGGUUAGUCCCAACAUUCAUGCGGUUCCCUGUCUUGAGCACAGCUUCUAGAAGUUUCAAGAACAUCCUACUACUUCUCAGUUCUUCACAGGCUGCCUCUAGAGUUUGGAAAGACCUCUUGAGGUACUCAACCUCAGACUCAAAAUUGGUUAUGUAAAGCAUUGCAUUCACUCUCUUAAAUGCAAAAGGUACAUCAAGCACAGCCCUGAGGAAUUUCUCAGCAUGACCAAGCUUGUUUAGUGAAUCAUCUUUAUAUUCCUUUAGCUUACGUUCUUCUUCUUUGGUAGGAGCCAUCUUCAAUAAACUUUCUAGAAGCUCAGUUCCAAGUGUAUCUGUAUUGCCUUCUAAAAGGGCUUCACAAACUUCCUCAAUUGUCACAUUGAGUGCCCUGAGCAAAAUUGCUAUGUUCUGCGCCUUUUUGGGAUCAAGUACCCUAUUCUCCUGGUUUGGUGAUGGAAUAACAGAACGUGGAGUUGUCUGGUUUGGUUUUGGGUUUGGAGUGUUUACAACAAACAGCGUUUCCAUCAUCUCCUCGUUCAAUUUAAAGGAGCUUGACCUGAGCUGAUCCCAAACCAUUUCUCGGUCGGAGCUCGCUCUAACUUUAUCCCAGUGCAAAGGUUUUAACUUUGGCUUGAUAGUCUCGUCCACAUCCUCAAUUGUUUUAGAACUAGGUUGCAAUUCAAUUGGAGACACCAUAGAUAUUCUUUGUAAUACAAAAGGCAUUGAAGGCGUUAUAAGCUCUGGCGGUUUGGUAAUUGGUUGGCCUGUCCGAGUUGACGCAACUGGAGAGUUCCCGUAUCUUUGUUGUUGUUGUGGAGGUGGUGGUGGUGGUGGUG
rnacentral:misc_RNA from 1 species